CCUACGGGAGACAGCAGUGAGGAAUAUUGGUCAAUGGACGAGAGUCUGAACCAGCCAAGUAGCGUGAAGGAUGACUGCCCUAUGGGUUGUAAACUUCUUUUAUAUGGGAAUAAAAUGUUCCACGUGUGGGAUUUUGUAUGUACCAUAUGAAUAAGGAUCGGCUAACUCCGUGCCAGCAGCCGCGGUAAUACGGAGGAUCCGAGCGUUAUCCGGAUUUAUUGGGUUUAACGGGAGCGUAGGUGGAUUGUUAAGUCAGUUGUGAAAGUUUGCGGCUCAACCGUAAAAUUGCAGUUGAAACUGGCAGUCUGGAGUACAGUAGAGGUGGGCGGAAUUCGUGGUGUAGCGGUGAAAUGCUUAGAUAUCACGAAGAACUCCGAUUGCGAAGGCAGCUCACUGGACUGCAACUGACACUGAGGCUCGAAAGUGUGGGUAUCAAACAGGAUUAGAUACCCGGGUAGUC
rnacentral:rRNA from 1 species